AUCCCCGUACGAUCGAUGAAGUUAAGCAACAUCGAGCCUGGUCAGUACCUUGAUGGGUGACUGCUUGGGAAUACCAGGUGCUGUAA